rnacentral:rRNA from 1 species
UAGGGAAUCUUCGGCAAUGGACGAAAGUCUGACCGAGCAACGCCGCGUGAGUGAAGAAGGUUCUCGGAUCGUAAAACUCUGUUGUUAGAGAAGAACAAGGACGUUAGUAACUGAACGUCCCCUGACGGUAUCUAACCAGAAAGCCACGGCUAACUACGUGCCAGCAGCCCCGGUAAUACGUAGGUGGCAAGCGUUGUCCGGAUUUAUUGGGCGUAAAGCGAGUGCAGGCGGUUUCUUAAGUCUGAUGUGAAAGCCCCCGGCUCAACCGGGGAGGGUCAUUGGAAACGGGGGGACUUGAGUGCAGAAGGGGGGAGUGGAAUUCCAUGUGUAGCGGUGAAAUGCGUAGAUAUAUGGAGGAACACCAGUGGCGAAGGCGGCUCUCUGGUCUGUAACUGACGCUGAGGCUCGAAAGCGUGGGGAGCAAACAGG